UACAAAUUAGGAAGUUUAGAAACAUGUAUUAUAAUUUGGGCGCUUUAUACAUGUGGAACAAGUAGCGCAACCGGCCUGGUUUUAU
rnacentral:ncRNA from 2 species